GGGGCUCGGAAGAAACUGCCACAAAAGUGGGGAUCCCC
rnacentral:sRNA from 1 species